AGUGAGAUCAGUGGUGCUUAGUUAUUUACUGCUUGUGUCAACUGCCACGGAAGAAAAUUAAUUGGACUGUUGUUUUUGUGUCUAAAUAUAUGACAAAAGAUGAAGAGGACAAUGCUAAAGAAGCAAUGUGCAUAAACAAAACAACCAUCCUAAGCUAAUAAGACGUCGUCUGCCUACACUGGUGUCAGAAUUUGUUUUAGUGUGAGUUGAUCUAAUGGUGAUCUCCAGGAGAUCUAUUCCACUGCAAGAGCAACAUUCUCCAUUUUUCUAAAGGGGAAUUAUGUGUACUUUAAGACUACCAUAUCAGUCUAUCCACAAUGUGUCUACACAUUCCCACAAAAAAAUUAACAAAUUUUGACAGGUAAAUCCUAUCUAAAAUGUGAAAGAUAAUAGACUUUUGUUUCAGCGGUUUAUUAAUCCUCAUUUUUUUCUUUACGUUAUCGCCAAUAUGGUAAAUCGCUAAUCAGAAUUUAUCUCUUCGACACUUUGAAAAACUUGAUGACCUCAUUUAAAAAUUUGGAAAAUAAAUCUGGCUUGAAGUUUGCAAAAUAGCAUAUACGCUUAUGUUUUAGAAUUGUUUAUACAGGAUG